CAUGCAGGCGGUUCAUCAAGUAGGAUGUGAAAUCCCCGGGCUCAACCUGGGAACAGCAUACUAAACUGGUGGACUAGAGUAUUGCAGGGGGGAGACGGAAUUCCAGGUGUAGCGGUGGAAUGCGUAGAUAUCUGGAAGAACACCAAAGGCGAAGGCAGUCUCCUGGGCAAAUACUGACGCUCAUAUGCGAAAGCGUGGGUAGCAAACA
rnacentral:rRNA from 1 species